UACGUAGGGCGCGAGCGUUGUCCGGAAUUAUUGGGCGUAAAGAGCUCGUAGGCGGUUUGUCGCGUCGGCUGUGAAAACCCGAGGCUCAACCUCGGGCCUGCAGUCGAUACGGGCAAACUAGAGUGUGGUAGGGGAGACUGGAAUUCCUGGUGUAGCGGUGAAAUGCGCAGAUAUCAGGAGGAACACCGGCGGCGAAGGCGGGUCUCUGGGCCAUAACUGACGCUGAGGAGCGAAAGCGUGGGGAGCGAACAGG
rnacentral:rRNA from 1 species